UCGAACGUAAGAUGACUGUAGGUGAAAGACUUACAUCUCUUCGGAGCAUUUUACGAGGUGCUGCAUGGUUGUCGUCAGCUCGUGCCGUGAGGUGUCGGGUUAAGGUCCCAUAACGAGCGCAACCCCUACCUUUAGUUGCCAUCAGGUUAAGCUGGGGACUCUAAAGGAACUGCCUACGCAAGUAGUGAGGAAGCGGGGAUGACGUCAAAUCAGCACGGCCCUUACGUCCAGGGCUACACACGUGCUACAAUGGCCGAUACAGAGGGCAGCUACCUGGUGACAGGAUGCAAAUCUCCAAAGUCGGUCUCAGUUCGGAUCGGAGUCUGCAACCCGACUCCGUGAAGUUGGAUUCGCUAGUAAUCGCGCAUCAGCCAUGGCGCGGUGAAUACGUUCCCGGGCCUU
rnacentral:rRNA from 1 species